GACGAACGCUGGCGGCGUGCUUAACACAUGCAAGUCGAACGGAAAGGCCCUGCUUUUGUGGGGUGCUCGAGUGGCGAACGGGUGAGUAACACGUGAGUAACCUGCCCUUGACUUUGGGAUAACUUCAGGAAACUGGGGCUAAUACCGGAUAGGAGCUCCUGCUGCAUGGUGGGGGUUGGAAAGUUUCGGCGGGUGGGGAUGGACUCGCGGCUUAUCAGCUUGUUGGUGGGGUAGUGGCUUACCAAGGCUUUGACGGGUAGCCGGCCUGAGAGGGUGACCGGCCACAUUGGGACUGAGAUACGGCCCAGACUCCUACGGGAGGCAGCAGUGGGGAAUAUUGCACAAUGGGCGGAAGCCUGAGGCAGCAACGCCGCGUGCGGGAUGACGGCCUUCGGGUUGUAAACCGCUUUCGCCUGUGACGAAGCGUGAGUGACGGUAAUGGGUAAAGAAGCAUCGGCUAACUACGUG
rnacentral:rRNA from 1 species